UGUGCCUUUGCUCCUCUUUCGCCUUCUGCCAUGACUGUGAGGCCUCCCCAGCCGUGUGGAACUCCCCAGUUCCCCAGGACCUUGCAUAUGGCCUGCAGCUCCUCACUGUCCUCGUCGUAGGAGGCCAGCAGGAAGCCCCCGUACCGGCCAGCCCGCUUCCCCCGGCCCAGGCUCCUGCUUGCUGGCCCUCAACACAUCCGUCCUCCACUCGAGGGGAAACCCCAGGAGCUUCGCACAAUGACAACCUGACUGUGACUCCCAGCACGGAACCCCCACUGACUUCCUGAAACCUUCAAGAGGAAGAUCCAGUUUUAUCUCACAGUGGCCCCAGGACAUGAGGAAGAUCCACCUCAUGCCAAUGUGGAGUUGGAAAGAGAGGGACCUCGAAGAUAUCCUUGAAAGAAUCUUAAGGAACCUCAAGGGCCCUCACACCACACUUUGAGAACUGCUGCCCAAGUGUGGCCUCCUGGCCAUGUGACGUGGCAGAGUCGGAAAUGUAAGUCAGACUGGCAGCUGGCAGGCUCACACCCCACCCUGUCACCCCUCAGCUGCCCCUGCACAGGAAGCUGGAACUCACCUCUCCAUUGAGGUAGAUGAGGUCGAAAGCGUACAAACACACCUGCACCUGGAUCUCGGAUGCAUCCACCUCCUGGGUUGGGGCACAACGGAGUUCAUGAGUGUAGGA
rnacentral:antisense_RNA from 1 species